AAGGCCACUGGCAAAUGCCGUGAAGGAUUACGGCAGUGUGGAUGGCCGUCUUAAGGCCUGAGGCAGAGACUGAGGGUUCCUAUUCCAGAGUCAACAUUCAGGCCUUCAGCACCCGAAUGGACUAAGCUUACUGAAGUCACCGGCAGAAGACAUACACAAGCGGCACCAGAACCCUCAGAACUAACAGAAAUACAGACGGAAGCAGAAAAGCAGCGACGAUCCCAGAAAAUGGCUGUUAACAUAUCGAUGCCGUAAGACUUUAAGAUCGCCUGAAAUUGAUUCUCAUAAUUUCCCCCCGGCGCUUGAGAUUGUUUUCCCGUUGCUCUUGCAGCUUCUGCUGGACGCGGUAGCUCAAGUGGAGUCAAUGUGCGUUCAGACCUUCGAGCUCCCACCUCACGCCUGAGCAUGCCACCACCCGCUUGCUCCUACCCAGACUGCAGUGACUUAAGAUGCACUGACUCUCGUGUCCUUUCCACCCAGAUAGGAGGAGAAGAGGAUGAAUAUGAUCAUAAUAUAUUGGAUACAUGUAUAAAAUCAUCAAAGAUUGAAUAAAAGGUAUUUUUAAUGG
rnacentral:lncRNA from 1 species